rnacentral:rRNA from 1 species
AAACUUAAGAGUUUGAUCCUGGCUCAGAGCGAACGCUGGCGGCAGGCUUAACACAUGCAAGUCGAACGAGAAACUAGACUUCGGUUUAGUGGAAAGUGGCAGACGGGUGAGUAACGCGUGGGAAUUUGCCCAGAGGUUUGGAACAACCAUUGGAAACGAUGGCUAAUACCGGAUAAGCCCUUCGGGGGAAAGAUUUAUCGCCUUUGGAUAAGCCCGCGUAAGAUUAGCUAGUUGGUGAGGUAACGGCUCACCAAGGCGACGAUC